CCGUUCUCGUGUUAUUUGUUGAAUUAUUUUUCGAGGUUCAAUGAUUGUCAAGAAGGCAAAUUGAAUUUCAAGUCAGUUUCACUCCAUAAUGUUGAACCUCAAUAUCACGAGCUACGACAUUACUAAUUGCUGUGUACAUUG